GUUUGGUUAUUUUUAUUCCCCACGAUUUAGUCCAAAGUACCCAAGAUGCUUGGUGGGUCUGUUACUUUGAGAUAGAUUACACGAUGCAAUUGCUUGAGUAGAAGGAAACACUUGCCUCAAACUGUACAGAAGUCAAUUUUAUGCAGUUCAAUUUGGAUUUCAAAACAGUCUCCUACACAAGGAACAUAAACACCUCUCCUCUUGUCUAGGUGGAGGCAGUAAAAUAAGACUCCCAAUUCACACCGGGUGGUAGGAGGCGUGCUGGAACAGGGACCCACUGCUGCAGUCUGUGCAAGAAGAGGGAGUCCCAGGAACCUGGGAAAAUGGUGAAAAGCUGUUACAGUUAGUACUGGUGGUUGCUAAAAGGCACAUUAACCAGAUCCUUCGGUGUCAUCUACAGAAAUUGCCUACUGCUAAGGUGUAUGCAGUAUAAAGCAAGUAGAUGUGUGGGACAGAAGAGUUGAUGCUGAGCAUCUUGGACUCAUUGCUCUUGGUUCACAGUCUAUUUUCAUCAUUCUUCUGAGGUUAGUAGGACUUCAGAGAACAACUCAUGUAGCCACAUGGACUCCACUAGCCACUGGCCAACUCAACAAUUGCAUCUUGACAUUUCCAGUGUCCCCAGGCAGCAUGAAUUACGAAAGAAACACUGUGAAGCUAAAAUGUUUGUAGUAUGCUCUCCCGCUCAUCCUGUACAUACAUGCUGUACAUACAGCAUGAGCAUCUCAUGGCACAUAUGUGCUUUAAGCUUCCCAUUUACUCUGGGCAUAGCAAAAAUAAAUUAUCUUUAAUAAUAAAUAAUUAUAUAUUUAUAAUAUAUAUUAAUAAUAAAUUAUAUAUAUAUAGUCCUGACUCUAUAACAUAAAAGCACAACUCCACAAACUCCACAAGAACUUGGCCGGGUUUUCAAGUGUGGGCAAUUAAGGACUUGCCAACCUUAUCUGUGGCACAAUUCCAACAGUACUGUUCUUCUGCUAGCCUACUGUUUCUAUUGCCAGGAGAUCCAGCCCUAGAGGAACAACCAUCAGCAAAUUCCAUUUGGGCAUUUGCCUGUCUCCCAAGAUUCUCCAAAGGGUGGUGAGGUUCAUGUCCGUGUGUUUGUUAAUGCAAAGAGCAGGCAGGGAUUGGUGACCACCAAGAGUAUCUGAAAGACAACAAAGUACAACCUGGGUAGCACUUCAAACAGGAGCGACCUGAAGUGGGUGUUUUCAAACCAUGCAUUUCACUUUAGAGCUGUUCUGUUCAGGUAUGAUGCAUCUUAAUUAGAAUUUGGAAAGAGUAGCAACAAAAACACAGAUAGAAAAGGGAAGAACAGUUUAUUGGCCUUGCCUUAGCAGAGAAUUUGCUGGAGAAAUGCACAUUCUCAUUGCACUUGCUAUGCCAUUUAUUAAUAUUGCAGCAUAGGAUGAUACAACUGUAAUCAUUUGUGACUUCAAUAAUUUAUAUCAAUACACAAUUCAUGAAUUCUGUGUUUGCCCAUUUGCAGAAUGCUACAGCUGAAGAGGAUCUACUGACAUGUAAGAGAUGAGUAUUUCUAAUCAUAUCCAUGUUCUUUUCAGUUCCCAGGAAGAACAAGACAGCUACAAAAUGCAAAGAUCCAGGUAAUUACUGGCAUUAAAACUGCUGCAAAAUACAUGAAUGAACGCAGAUCAUAAAACAAGAAAAAAAUUACCCAUGAACCUGAGUGUUGAAAACAGUGUGUAAACCUUGUAUUUUUAGCUCUUGAGUAAACAUUGUAUUUUUAGCUCGAGCCAUCAGAGAGCACAAAACCAUCUCUGUUCAAAUGAAAUCAACAGCCCACCUUUCUUUUUUUGGAUCUUGGUACAUAAGUAAGUGUGUUUAUAUAUUUGUGUCAUGUGAAUAAAAUACUCAAUUAUC